rnacentral:rRNA from 1 species
CAGUAGCCGCGGUAAUACAGAGGGUGCAAGCGUUAAUCGGAAUUACUGGGCGUAAAGCGCGCGUAGGUGGUUUGUUAAGUUGGAUGUGAAAUCCCCGGGCUCAACCUGGGAACUGCAUCCAAAACUGGCAGGCUAGAGUAGGGCAGAGGGUGGUGGAAUUUCCUGUGUAGCGGUGAAAUGCGUAGAUAUAGGAAGGAACACCAGUGGCGAAGGCGGCUUACUGGCUCAUACUGGACGCUGAGGUGCGAAAGCGUGGGGAGCAAACAGGAUUAGAUACCCGCGUAGUCCCUGUCUCUUAUAA